UACGAAGGGGGGGCUAGCGUUGCUCGGAAUCACUGGGCGUAAAGCGCACGUAGGCGGAUCUUUUAAGUCAGGGGGUGAAAUCCCAAGGCUCAACCUUGGAACUGCCUUUGAUACUGGGGGAUCUCGAGUCCGGAAGAGGUUGGUGGAACUGCGAGUGUAGAGGUGAAAUUCGUAGAUAUUCGCAAGAACACCAGUGGCGAAGGCGGCCAACUGGUCCGGUACUGACGCUGAGGUGCGAAAGCGUGGGGGAGCAAACAGG
rnacentral:rRNA from 1 species